rnacentral:misc_RNA from 1 species
CUCUUCAACUUAUAUUGCUGCAUCUCAGCUCCUUUGUGAAGCUAAAGACUCUAGAAUGUGCAUUGGUUCUCAAUUGGUACUUACGCAUUUGGUACUUAGACUAAAUCUUAUAUAUAGGAGACUAACUAUUGAACUGAUGUGGAUAAAGCAUGCACACACAUAAAUCUAAGAAUCUUAUUCAUAAGUAAACUAUAAACCAUAAUGCAUAAAAUCUCAGAAUGGUGACCCGCAGCCAAAUGCAUAAAACAUUAGAUUUACAUGUAUAGCAACAACAACGUAACAGCAAAUCUAUGUAUAUAACCACAGUUGUGGAACUCAGAAAAAGUCAGGGACAGAGGUGGUUACCGGUCUCAGAUAUUUUUUAGGCCAAACUCUUUCCACCCAGAACAGCUGCUGCUAUGCACAAUAGUUGUCUCCUAAUAAUAGAUAUUCAGCUACAUUAAUUUGUCCAAAAAUCUACUAAUUAUAAUAAUAAGAUUAAUGACAACAACAUAUAGAAUUCCACCCAGAACCACUCUUAAAGUGUCCUCAUUUGCUGCCAACCCAAUUUUUGCUAUUUACAUAAGACAGUUUAACAUAAUUCAAUUAUGGUCUUCGCAAUUAGUGGAAGAUGGACAUUAUAUAAAUCAAAGGAACUCACCUACAAAAUACAAAAUUCAGAAUUACAAAAAAAAAAAAAAUAAUAACUUAUUGAACAACCCCCAGUAAAAACAAGAGAGAAAUUCACCAUUGUCACAAAAUUGGAAAUAGCAAGAAUAUUUCACCCAUAACACUAAACCCAUUCUUAAAUCAUCAAUACCCUAAAUCUAUAAUUAAAUUAACACUAAAAAACUUUGUAAGAAUUGGGCAUAAACAAACCUAGAAUGCGAGUGACCGAAUUGGGCAAAGAAUGCGAGUGAGAGAAUAACAAAUAAAAGUAGCAGUGCGAGAGAGAAAGUGAAAGCGAUUGAGAGAGAACGAGAACCAGAGAAUGACAGUGCAAGAGGAGAACAAGAGAGUGGCAGAGUGAGAGAGCUUAACCAUAGAAACUUGUUU